CUGCUUGCAUGAUUGAUAUGAUUAAUUAUUUAAUAUUAGAUGUUGUAUUUAUUCAUGUCAUAUGAUCCUAAUUAGGUAGUUUCUAGAUCAGAUCUAGAGCAUGCAAAUAGAUUAAAUUAUUUAAUCUGUAGUCUUCUACUAAAAAAAUUGAAAAUGCAUGCUUUGAACUGCCAAUUUUUCCUUCAUUUUAAAAGCCUGAAUUCGAUCUUUGAUCGGCGUAGAAACCAAUUCAAGACUCCUCACAUCACCCAAAAACCUCCUGGCCCAUCAAACGAUGACCGCAAGCCCCUAGCCGCCAU
rnacentral:lncRNA from 1 species